rnacentral:tRNA from 1 species
GGCCAGGUGGCGGAGUGGUUAACGCGGUAGACUCGAAUCUCCAAGCGAUCUACUUCCUUCGGGAGCGUCUGUUCGAAUCAGGCCCUGGUCG